rnacentral:rRNA from 1 species
GAUGAACGCUGGCGGCGUGCCUAAUACAUGCAAGUCGAGCGAACGGACGAGAAGCUUGCUUCUCUGAUGUUAGCGGCGGACGGGUGAGUAACACGUGGAUACCCUACCUAUAAGACUGGGAUAACUUCGGGAAACCGUAGCUAAUACCGGAUAAUAUUUUGAACCACAUGGUUCAAAAGUGAAAGACGGUCUUGCUGUCACUUAUAGAUGGAUCCGCGCUGCAUUAGCUAGUUGGUAAGGUAACGGCUUACCAAGGCAACGAUGCAUAGCCGACCUGAGAGGGUGAUAGGCCACACUGGAAGUGAGACACGGUCCAGACUCCUACGGGAGGCAGCAGUAGGGAAUCUUCCGCAAUGGGCGAAAGCCUGACGGAGCAACGCCGCGUGAGUGAUGAAGGUCUUCGGAUCGUAAAACUCUGUUAUUAGGGAAGAACAUAUGUGUAAGUAACUGUGCACAUCUUGACGGUACCUAAUCAGAAAGCCACGGCUAACUACGUG